rnacentral:rRNA from 1 species
UACGGGGGGGGCAAGCGUUGUUCGGAAUUACUGGGCGUAAAGGGCGCGUAGGCGGCCUGCUAAGUCGGACGUGAAAUCCCUCGGCUCAACCGAGGAACUGCGUCCGAUACUGGCAGGCUGGAAUCCGGGAGAGGGAUGUGGAAUUCCAGGUGUAGCGGUGAAAUGUGUAGAUAUCUGGAGGAACACCGGUGGCGAAGGCGGCAUCCUGGACCGGUAUUGACGCUGAGGCGCGAAAGCUAGGGGAGCAAACGGG